rnacentral:lncRNA from 1 species
CUGGUCAUGUGAUGGUCGUUUGCCCACACCUGCUUCAGCGCGGGCUGGCUGGGCGCCCCAUACGUUGCACAAGAACACACUGACAUUAGGAGACACAGUGGCGACAGCAUUGGCUGGUGUGUGCUCACGGCUUGACUUCGUGGGCUGCGGCUGGCCAGCCUUGAGCAACUGAGCGCAUUGUCUGUAGAUCGCUGCAUUUCUCAACCCUGGAGCCUGGUGACGCAUGAGAGCUCAUCUCUGGACGGUUUAAGGGCCUGCUUGCUGAGAGCAGAGCCAUUUGUCUCUCGGAGACGAUUGCGCCAACCUUCUCCGCUAUGUCCAUUCUUUUCCCAUCACUGGGGCAAAUUCUUGGCAAGAGGAGCCGCUGGAGGAGGCAGGAUUUGGGUUUGAGAGAGAACAGCCCUUUUCAGAAGGGCAGCCAUUUUGGCAGAAGCCAGCUGGCUGCGUGCUGAUAGGAGUGUCCUAUCUGUCCUAUCUCUCACACCCAAGGGGCCGAGCAGGAAGCAGAGACCUCAGGUGAUCCCGCAGUCUCUAACCCAUCCUCCAUCCUCCGUCCUCUGCACCUGCCAGUGUCUGUGUCUGUCCCCAAAGUUUCCCAACUCCACGAAACAAUGCCACCAGCUAGGAACCGAGUGUUCAGGUCUGGGGGCCUGUGAGGGACAUUCCAUGUUCAAACCAAAAUGUCCAGGAACAGGAAAACAGGGACUGUAUCCAAAGCCUUUGGGCAAUCUUUGUUUUUCCAGAUGAUGCUGGAUAGUGACAAUACAGUCAGCCCACUGAGUUCCCGGCUUCCACAUUCUCAUGCUCAGCCAAGCAGCUUUUAAGAGAAUUGCCUCGAUACCGAACACACACAGACCACUUUCUUAUCCUCACUCUGCAAAGAGCUCGGCGCCAACACCCCUUACCUGGCAUGCAAGUGCCCCUUACCUGGCAUGCACCCUGGCAGUUUGGGUUACACAGAUCAACAGAUGCCAAGUAGCCAUCAGAAACCCAAUCACGGAUAAAACAUUUAUUGGAAAGUGACGGUUGGGGCCGGAGAGAUGGUUCACUGUGUGCUGGCUGCCAAGCCUGGCGACCUGAGUUUCAUCCUAAGGACACACGGUAGAAGAAGAGAACCAACCGCCUCAAGCUGCCCUCCGACCUUCAUGUGUGCCUCGGUACAUGCCUGUGGGAGCACACACAUACAUGCUAAAUGAAGAAAGCAGUAAUAAAAUGAGAGAGCGUCUGUGUAGAAGGUAGGAG